CCCUCUGUCCCUAUCUACUAUCUAGCGAAACCACUGCCAAGGGAACGGGCUUGGAAAAAUCAGCGGGGAAAGAAGACCCUGUUGAGCUUGACUCUAGUCUGGCACUGUAAGGAGACAUGAGAGGUGUAGCAUAAGUGGGAGGCGGUUAACCGUCGCCGGUGAAAUACCACUACUUUCAUCGUUUCUUUACUUACUUGGUUAGGCGGAAGGCGUACGUCUUGCUUUAGCUCGGCGUUACGGUCUUCUCGCGCCAAGCGUUCAAGGGUUGCCGGCGGACAGACGUGCGAGUCGGAAAUCGGUAAUCCGUGGCUGCGACAGGACCUGUCCUGAAGCACCACGGCCUCCGAGGCUCGGCUUUAGCGCGCUCUGAGCUCGACCGGCAAACACUCCCUAGCGUGAUCCGAUCCGAGGACACUGCCAGGCGGGGAGUUUGACUGGGGCGGUACAUCUGUCAAAGAAUAACGCAGGUGUCCUAAGGCCAGCUCAGCGAGGACAGAAACCUCGCGUAGAGCAAAAGGGCAAAUGCUGGCUUGAUCCCGAUGUUCAGUACGCAUAGGGACUGCGAAAGCACGGCCUAUCGAUCCUUUUGGCUUGAAGAGUUUUCAGCAAGAGGUGUCAGAAAAGUUACCACAGGGAUAA
rnacentral:rRNA from 1 species